CCCAAACAAGAUUUUUGCUCCGAUUUGAGCCCUUGGACAUCUUUGAACGCCGAUCACCAUCCUAUUGCCACCGCCCCAUCACCGUUGGUGAAGAAAAUCUCGGGGUUAUUGAACCCGGGAUCGAGGAUUAGAGCGAAUCUUUCAGGGUUCAUCGUUUAGACCAAGGUGAAAGGUGAAGCAGAUCAGGUGGUAGGACUUGGUAGUUGCAAGAGACACGAUGUUUUAGAUUUUUAUUUUUAUGAGUUCAGUAUUUUUAGACUUUAUGUUAGAAUUUCAUUAUUGAGACUUCCGCUGCAGAUUUUGAGAUGAUAGUAUGGUAUUAAGAAUAA